AGAGUUUGAUCCUGGCUCAGGAUGAACGCUAGCGGCAGGCCUAACACAUGCAAGUCGAGGGGCAGCGCGGUGUAGCAAUACACUGGCGGCGACCGGCAGAAGGGUGCGUAACGCGUGAACAACAUGCCCGACACAGGGGGAUAAGCGGUGGAAACGCCGUCUAAUACCGCAUAACGCUUAUGGGCGGCAUCGCCCGAAAGCCAAAUUCGCGAGAAGGUGUCGGAUUGGUUCGCGAGACAUUAGCCAGUUGGCGGGGUAACGGCCCACCAAAGCGAUGAUGUCUAGGGGUUCUGAGAGGAAGGUCCCCCACACUGGAACUGAGACACGGUCCAGACUCCUACGGGAGGCAGCAGUGAGGAAUAUUGGACAAUGGUCGGAAGACUGAUCCAGCCAUGCCGCGUGAAGGGAAAGGUCCUAUGGAUUUUCAACUUCUUUUGUACGGGGGCAAUAAGGUCCACGCGUGGGCCGAUGAGAGUACCGUACGAAUAAGCAUCGGCUAACUCCGUGCCAGCAGCCGCGGUAAUACGGAGGAUGCAAGCGUUAUCCGGAUUUAUUGGGUUUAAAGGGUGCGUAGGCGGAUUUUCAAGUCAGUGGUGAAAUACCCGGGCCAAACCCGGGAGCUGCCGUUGAAACUGGGAGUCUAGGAUACGGUUGCCGUGGGAGGAAUGAGUAGUGUAGCGGUGAAAUGCAUAGAUAUUACUCAGAACAC
rnacentral:rRNA from 1 species